GGUGGCUACGCCUACAGAGGAUGCAACACCGUGACCGAUUUGUGUUUGCAUAAGGAAAUGGGAAUGCUCCCUAAACUCACAUUCCUUUCUCCAUUUCUCAUCGGAAGCAGCAGAGAAGACAAAGGGAGAGAACUCCCUAAAUUCAUUCCUUCAUCUUCUUCUUUUUCUGGCAAUGGUGACAACAAAUAAGGGUGAACCCCUAAUCCUCCGAGGACAGCGACAAAGACACAUACUCGUGGCGAAGGCUAUACAAUGUUCCACCUUCAACAAUUAUGGGUUCAUGUAGAGG